rnacentral:lncRNA from 1 species
GCAGGGGAAAAGGCUGGGCGAAAAAACGCAAGUGGAGCUUUGAAAAGGAGAGGCUCCAAAUGCAAUGCUUGGCAUUUUCUAAUAGCUCCGGGUGUUGUGAGUGCGGACUUGAAGCUAGAGGGAUAGAUAGAAGUUCAGUCCUGACUCUGUCACUUAUAUGUGGGCCUUGUCUCUCCUUCAGAUGACUCAGCUGCAAAAUAGCGAUGAUUUAUGCUCUCUUCCUCGGGCCUAUUGUGAGGAUGGAAAGAGCUAAUACUGCUGAAAUGCCUAAAACAGUGAUUAUUCUUAUCAUGUGAGGGUUCCCAGAUUUCCAGAUAGGGUUUCUCUUUGCCCUCCUGGGAAAUCAUUGGUGGGACACUGUGAGAAGAGUCCAGGUGUGUGGGCCCUGAGGCUUCUGCCACUGAGGGCAGGUGGGCAACCUCUCUGAGGGGCCCCUGGACCCACCUAGAUCCCAGAAGGGGCAGGAGGUUUGUGGAGGAUGGCCUCUUGGACAGUUAAGACACUGUUGGGUGUUGGGGCAUCCCUGCCGGCCAGGCAGGGACAGAGCCUUGGAAGGAGAAUUGGUCUAGUGCCUGGCCAUUUGAGUCAAGACCGCUGGUUACCCGAUCACUGUGGGAGAAAAGGAACUGUGGCCUGUUGAGGACUUUUAAAGGAGUGUUGUGUAGAUUAAGUGAGAAAUGGGCUUGUAAUGCAAGCAAAUGUCUGAAGAGUAAUGGUGAAGGAAAAACACAUACCAUCCCUGCUAGGGUAGAGGAAGGAAGGGUAUGUCUGGGCUUUGGUUGCUUGGAUGUUGGGGAACUGCUCCUCCAUGGAAAAAUGAACCCUUCCAGUUGGUGCCUUGAGGCAGAAGCAAGCCUUGAGCUUGAGGAAGUCCUCAAGUACUCCAGUACUGCCCUGGGUCCUCUGGCUCUGGGAUGGGCAAGUCGUGGACUGCUCAGGCACUUGUCUGAAGCUCAGGGUGGGAAAAGCCACUGGGCUUGGGCCUAUAGGACCCUGGGGCUGACAGGUGCAAGAGGCACUGUAGGUCUGGCUGGCACCAAGGAUCUAAGGAGGAGGAAGUGUCAGGGUCAGAAAGCAUCCAGUUUCCUGUCCCAGGCUCCUGGCUCCUGGCUCUGGGAGGCACGGAGAGAAGGGGAGCGUAUCCGAACCAGAAUUCCAGAAGCUGCAGGUUCUCCCUGCAGGAGAGACAGUUCUGUGAUGCCCACUGCAGCCUCGGAGACCCAGCCGCGCAAAAACUUCGAUGUGCACGCCCGCGACACGGGCCCGGAGGACGUACAAGGGCCCAAGAUCAAUAUCCACGACAGCCGGGCAACGCUUAUUGUUUAAAAGGAA